rnacentral:lncRNA from 1 species
AGAUCAGCCCUGGGGUUCAGAGGGAUCCUGACAGCUACUCCUCAAGAUCCUCUCUGUUGUGAUUCAUCCCCCCGGGGCCCUACAGUUUCUCCUUCCUGACUCUUACAUUUCUUUGGAUGGCAUCAUUAUUUACCUGUCUCCUCCCAUAGUUAGGUGCCAAGCACUGUGGAUUCUGCCUCUCAGUGUCCAGACACCCAUUUUCCUUCCCACUGUUCCUUCCCCAUGGAGAAGCCUGUGGCUGGCUGACAGCAGAGAGAGAUGCUCAACUUGGAGAAGGUGUUACCUGGGCCAGGUGGGGAAGGUUUGUUUGCAGAGCAAAGAAGUGAAGGAAGUAUUAACCCUUUGCAUGGCCUCCUGAGAAUCCGACAAGACGUAAAUAGCCAAGAAUAUCUGUGAAACUUCAUCACUGAGUUACAAUAUUUAUCACUGCAAGUGUGUUGUUCAUUGACACUAUAAAGCCAUGUGGAAUUAAGCAGCCUUGAAACACAAAAUGGAGAAAGGCUAAGAGCUGAGAAUUGUUGCCUUCAGGGAAAUACAAUCAAUGUCAAGCAAACAACCACCCCAAAAUGAUCCUCAUGUGACAGGUGACCUGCCAUAUAAUCAGAAGGAAGAAAUGUUACACAGAGAGGCUGAGAAGAAUCUGAGGACUUGCUA